rnacentral:rRNA from 1 species
AUCGAACGCUGGCGGCAGGCCUAACACAUGCAAGUCGAGCGAGCGGCGGACGGGUGAGUAAUGUCUGGGAAACUGCCUGAUGGAGGGGGAUAACUACUGGAAACGGUAGCCAAUACCGCAUACCAUCAGAUGUGCCCAGCGGGGAUUAGCUAGUAGGUGGGGUAAUGGCUCACCUAGGCGACGAUCCCUAUCUGGUCUGAGCGGAUGACCAGCCAUACUGGAACUGGUGCACGGUCCAGACUCCUGCGGGAGGCAGCGGUGGGGAAUAUUGCACAGUGGGCGCAAGCCUGAUGCAGCGAUGCCGCGUGUGUGAAGAGGGCCUUCGGGUUGUAAAGUCCGUUCAGCGGGGAGGCGUUACCCGCAGAAGAAGCACCGGCUAACUCCGUGCCAGCAGCCGCGGUAAUAC